GCCGUCUCUUUUUCGAGUGGCAAAUCGAGCACUCCUGACGCAGAUUCAGUACUCAAUUGUUGUUCCACCACGGCGUACGUGAACGCGGACGAAAUCCGUAGAGUCCAAAGCAAUCAGAAAUCCCAUUUCAAUCGCAGCGUUCAGUGGCCCCCCACGUAAAAGUCAACGGUUUCAAAGUCCUUCGUCAAACGCAUACGCCCAGUGUACUCGAAGUGGAAAGUGUCAUAAAGUAUGCGAUUAUCCUGUAAACAAAGUGUAAAACGCGCCCAGUAAGCGCCGAAAACGAAAGGCGAACAGCAAACAACUCCCGGAUUUUACGACUUGAGCAAUCAACUCGCCUGGUCACUCACCAACUUGAGGACCCCAGGACUGUAGGACUCCAGGAGUGCAGGACUCUUGGAAUUGGCCAGUACACAACUAUAGAAUUGGAUCUGGGCACGUCGUAUAAUGAUUGCGCAAGUGAGAUGACGCCACUGCCGGUGAGAAGGAUACGUUAGGAGCGGCGUCGAACUAUGGGAACAGAGGCAUGGGCGUGUGCGCGGACCUCGGGUCUCAUCGAUGGUGUCGGGCAUUGAGCACCCAGCACAACACCGAGAAAUCGAAGGAGCAGCAGCAGCAAUCCCAGUCCUUGGAGAUCCCAGAGGAGCGUGCUUCCAGGUGUCGAGGAGCCAUUGACAGGACAACGACAACGACGAUUCCCGCUAGCAAAACGCUGACGGCAUCGCCAGCGAAAACGGCAGCUUUCACAGUGAAAACGACGAGGAGAAGACGAAGCCGACGAAGGGCAGAAGGCAGCUCCAUCUGCGUUCCCAUCCGGAGGGGUCAAGGGUCAACGCCAACGCCAACGAUACAGGUGCUCCAGUUCGUUUUGGUCUCGUUGCUGGCCCUUCUAGCGAAAAAUGCCCAGGCGCACAAUAUUCCAGAAGACGCCGUGCACAUCACGGCCAUCCUCGGCGAGGGCGUCAUCUUCAACUGCCAUGUGGAGUUCCCCAACGACCAUCCCGUGCCAUAUGUCCUGCAGUGGGACAAGAAGGUGAGCGAAACGGGCUCCGAUCUGCCCAUCUACAUCUGGUAUGAGAGCUAUCCGGAGCACAUCGAGGAGGGCUACAAGGGACGCGUGUCCCGCGUGUCGCAGGACUCGCCCUUCGGCUCCGCCUCGCUCAACCUGACCAACAUCCGGGAAUCGGACCAAGGAUGGUACGAGUGCAAGGUCGUCUUCCUCAAUCGGGACCCCAAGCAGCAUAAGAACGGUACAUGGUUCCACUUAGACGUACAUGCACCGCCGCGCUUUAGUGUUACGCCAGAGGAUAUUAUAUACGUUAAUUUAGGUGAUUCAAUUAUACUCAAUUGCCAGGCAGAUGGCACGCCCACGCCGGAAAUACUCUGGUACAAGGAUGCCAAUCCCGUCGAUCCCUCGCCCACGGUGGGCAUCUUCAACGACGGCACCGAGCUGCGGAUCUCCACCAUUCGGCACGAGGACAUCGGAGAGUACACUUGCAUUGCACGCAAUGGUGAGGGACAAGUCUCCCAUACGGCCCGUGUUAUAAUCGCGGGCGGCGCUGUAAUCAUGGUGCCUCCGACCAACCAAACGAAGCUCGAGGGCGAAAAAGUGAUAUUCUCCUGCGAGGCUAAGGCCAUGCCCGGCAACGUCACGGUGCGCUGGUACCGCGAGGGUUCCCCCGUCCGGGAGGUGGCCGCCCUGGAGACCAGGGUCACCAUCCGCAAGGACGGCUCGCUCAUCAUCAACCCCAUCAAGCCGGACGACUCGGGCCAGUACCUCUGCGAGGUGACCAACGGCAUCGGCGAUCCGCAGAGCGCCUCCGCCUACCUCAGCGUCGAAUAUCCCGCCAAGGUCACCUUCACGCCCACGGUGCAAUACCUGCCGUUCCGCCUAGCCGGCGUUGUCCAGUGCUACAUCAAGUCGAGUCCGCAGCUGCAGUACGUGACCUGGACGAAGGACAAGCGCCUGCUGGAGCCGUACCAGAUGAAGGACAUCGUGGUGAUGGCCAACGGUUCGCUGCUGUUCACACGGGUCAAUGAGGAGCACCAGGGCCAGUACGCUUGUACGCCGUACAAUGCACAGGGCACGGCUGGAGCUUCCGGGGUCAUGGACGUGCUCGUCCGGAAGCCGCCCGCCUUCACCGUAGAGCCGGAGACGCUCUACCAGCGCAAGGUGGGCGACAGCGUAGAGAUGCACUGCGACGCCUUGGAGGCGGAGGGCACGGAGCGACCCACCAUCAAGUGGCAGCGCCAGGAGGGCGAGCAGCUGACCGAGUCGCAGCGCAAUCGCAUCAAGAUCUCCGGGGGCAAUAUCACCAUUGAGAAUCUGAGGAGGGAGGACUUCGGCUACUACCAGUGCGUGGUCUCCAACGAAGUGGCCACCCUGAUGGCCGUAACCCAGCUGGUGAUCGAAGGCACCCAGCCGCAUGCACCAUACAAUAUCACGGGCAAGGCCACCGAGUCCUCGAUAACGCUGCAAUGGCUGCCAGGAUACAGUGGCGGGUCGGAGUACAAGCAGGACUAUACGAUCUGGUUCCGGGAGGCGGGCGUCAACGACUGGCAAACGAUCUCCGUGACGCCCUCGGGCAGCACCCAGGUGACCAUCAAUGGCUUGGCCUCCGGAACCACCUACGAGUUCCAGGUGGUGGGCCGGAAUGUCCUGGGCGACGGGAUGAUGAGCAAAGUGAUGACCGUGCGCACACUGGAAGACGCUCCGGCAGCGCCACGUAAUGUCAAGGCUGCAACACAACCGCCCGACUCAUUCUUUCAGCUAAUGCCAGACGAAGCUGGUCCCAAACCAGGACCGCCGAGGAACGUGUCCGUCACGGAGGUCUCGAACGGAUUCCUCAUCACGUGGCAGUCGCCGCUGGAGCGGGCGCACAUCGUCAAGUUCUACACCAUCAAGUACCGGACGGACGCGCAGUGGAAGACACUCAACCGGGGACAAAUCCGGCCGGAGGAGACGCAGUAUCUGGUGAAGAACCUGGUGGGCGGAAGGACCUACUACUUCCGGGUGCUGGCCAACUCGGAGAAGUCGUACGAGUCCAGCGACGAGGUGAAGUUCCCUGUGCCGGCACGUGUCAAGCACAAGGCGAUUACCGCCGGCGUCGUUGGGGGCAUCCUGUUUUUUAUUGUUGCGAUCAUUUUAUCGGUUUGUGCCGUAAAAAUUUGCAAUAAACGUAAACGACGAAAACAGGAAAAAGGUAACACUGAGGCUAAAGCUAACACACACACUUGAAAUGGUUUUUGAUGACAAUCACAACUUGAUAUUGCUAAUGAUAAUGCUAACGAUAUAGAUGUACCGAUACCGAUACCGAUCCGUGCGAUACUAAUAUCUUUAAUAAUCGUAACAGUAAUCGUAAUAUCCGAUGACGAUGUUCUUGUUGUUGGCGAACCCGAACCGAAACCAUAGUCGUUAUAGAUACGAGUGUAAUAACUCCAACUAACUUACUAACUAACUAACAGUCACUAAUUAUUGAUAACGUACCAACAUUCCGAGUUUCCGACGGCAGAGGCCAUCCAAUUAUCGAUAACUUUGAACGGAUUACCGAUAAUCGUUAUUUGCUGUGCUUUAUGAGUUUUGCUUAAAAUAGCCACUUCCGUUUCCCAUUCAGUUUCGAAGGAUUGGUUUGUUCGACAACAACAGCACAUUGGAAUUUGCAUACGAAACCGUUUGUUUGCCCAAAGUAAAAUAUUUGACAAAAUUUCUGAGCCGUUGAGGCAUUUGAUAUGAAAUUCUCCAUAAAUUAUGCCUGUCUGAGAUCUGUAUGAUUUGUACGUUUUCGUUGUAGUUGUGCAAGUAAAAUUGAGUUACAAUUUGGCAAAAGUUGCUGAAAAAUCUCUGUAUAUAUAUAUUUACAUACUAAUUGGAUUUUGGUUCGCUUCUCCUUAUUUGGUUAUCCUUAUUUUCUGAAUUCUGGUUUUUGAUUUCAUUAGCUCUGAGUUUCUCUUUAUCCGGGCCCAAAAACCCCGCCCCCUGUACCUCUUCUCGCGUCCCCCCGGUCCCACUCAUCCAUUUCCGUAGACAAAAGUGACUCCCCCAGAUCUUAGUUGAAAAUCGGCCACCAGACCACCGCCCCCUGAAGUUAUCAGUUUUGUUUGCAUUCCAUUACUUAAGCCUUCUGUUCGUAUCAUUGGGCCUACGUAUGAUUUCUGUAAACUCAAUCUGGCUUCAUAGCGCUUUGCAGCCUGUUUGUUUUCGAAUUCAUCGCAUGAACAUAUUACUUACUAGUUGUUGCCACUUUAGUUAAGCAUUAAGCGAAGAUGCCAAAUGCAAUCGAUUAAGCUCUGUCCCCGCCUUUUUCCGGGGAAACCCCUUUCGCAACCAAUAUGAAUCUGCCGGCCAAAGUUGAGCGGAAAUUGAAAAUGCCAGGGCCAGAGGACCAGUAUAUCCAGGACAUCCAUUAUUUGACGCCCGCUGGCUUUAAUGCAAUCGAAUCCAACCCGGACCGAAUGAAACCCAUCCAAACCGAACAAAACCGACCAUAUCGAACCUCUGUCUCUGCUUUUUGUUAUGGUUUUUGCUUUAAACUGUAUUUUAAGUGGAUUAAUUAAUGUUGCGUUGUUUAAAUCAAUUAUUUAUGUAUUCUUUCCGAGACCCCCCUUCCCCCACACACUUACACAACACAGAAAAAAAAUGAAGAAAUAUACAAUGAGCAGGGAAAUUGCGAAUUUUUAAAUCAAUGCAGCCCAUUAACUGUGAAAUAUGAUGAACAUACGAACGUAUUCUAUACAGAACACAUUGUUCUCAAUUUUAUCCUCAGUUUUUUUUCAUGCUGUGGUAAAAACACAUUACGAUAGAUUAACGUAAAAGCGGUAAUAAUAUAAAUGUGACAAGCUGAUAACGCUGAUGGUAGAAAUGCCUUUAUCUAUUAACCAUUUACAAGCAUGUUCUUGGCCAAAUCGUCGUUGUUUCUGCCCAGGGCUGAGUUCAUGACAGAUAAAGGCAUUUUCAGCAGAGAGCAUAGACCUAUAGAUCUAUAUACAUGGCGAAUGACCAUUUAUAUAGCACAAUACUGGGCAGACGUUUUUUGUAAACAAUUCACGCACAAAGAUGGUAAAAUAAGGCCCACAAACCAAGUCGAUAGAGCAUUCGAAACUAGAAAACCGAAUCCGAAGCAUAAAAUGAUCGCGUCGCUGAUCGGUUAUAUCCGGUACACACCCGCCCUUGUCCGCCCCACUUUUGGGACUCCAAACGGGUGCUAUUACCCCAUUUAAGCUAUAUAUAUUUUGGAGUCCGAGUUGGGCAGUCAAAAGGCGGAGCGACCGGGCCAACUAAAAUAUGAGUAAAGCGUAUAGUAAGACCCCCUAAAACCCCAACAUCGAUACAAGCAAGGGUAAGUUUUUGCAAUCAUUUUAAGUCGAUGUCGUGUACCACAGAUCCUGAGUACUGACAACUAAAGGUUAUUUUCAGACGAGUUCCCACCACCCCAACCAACCAACCAACAAUCCAAGCAAUCAAUCAAGAACCAACUAACCAACACUGACAUCACCACAACCAUCGAUUAAGCAUCUGCAUUCCACUAACAAUCCGCAAUGCUUGGGUCCCAAGUUGUCAGUGGCUCUGUUCUCGGGCAGAUCGUUCAGAUACUGCCGCACUUUCUCGAAUAUAUACAUAUAUAUAUCUCAAGCACCCCACACAUUCCAGAGCUCACAGAUUUCAUAAUUACCCAAAAAACACAUGCACUGCCAAGCAAAACAUGACAAAAAAGCCAAACAAAAACACUACUUCUCGAACACUUUUCGUUUUUUGUUUUGUGUGAAUCACUUGUACUUGGGCAAAAGUUUUUUGUCGCUUAUCCUCAGUUUGUUUUUUGCAUACCCAUAAUCCCCAUAUGAUCAGCAAUAUUUGGUUUUCGAUUUGCAUUAAAGUUCAGUUCCAGUAUCUCUCUAUCUCUCUUUUCCGUUGGCACAAUUCGUAACUUGACCAUUUAAAAGCCAUUUCACGUGUCAUUGUUUUUUUCCAACCAUUCGAAGCCAGAUCCUAAAUAAAAUACUGCGAAGAGCACACGGCGGCUGUGUAUACUUGCACCUCGGAGCGUGUGUAUGUGCCAUAUGCUAUAUGGUGUUUGCUCUAAUGCCGAGUUUCCGCAUAUAGCCGUAUAUGUAUGUGGGGGUUCCCCUUCGACGGCUUAGUUUGUCAUCGACCGUCAAUCGCAACUGGCCGGAGGAGCAUUAGGUUUCGAUUUAGUUGGCAUUGUUAUUCCACGACCCCGUAGUCGCCGUUCAAUUACCCAAACUCCGCGAAAUUGGCCCACUGGUUCACUAAUUGGCGCCUCCUCCUGCUCCACAUGUAAUUGCAAUGUAACCCCAAUCAAAUGAAACUAACCAACAACAUAGUUUAGUCUUAGUCAUCUAACUGCUAACUGGUAAAUGGCAACUGUUAUCUGCUAACUGGCGACUGUUUAGUGUCCCCUAGUAAUAGCCCAGUAACUGCUAAAAUUUAAACAAUCUAAACUUAUUAGCCACGACAACUGAAACAACAAGCGUGUGUAAUCUGACGAUGCUGGCAUGCAAAUUGGCAUAAUCAACGUGACCAGGUGCACAGAGAGAAAGAGUCGGACCGAGUUUGUUAAAAACCAAUUAAACAAGUAACAACAAAUUAAAGUAGCUAAAUCUCCUGCUGUUUUAAAGCUAUUUGUAAGGUGUGUAAAAGCAGGCAAUACUAUACUUUGUAUGUGGCAUGACGAAGAUACGAAAUGGUACUGCAUAUUAGUGAUUUUGAAAGCGUAGGGAUUUCUGUGGCACACCGACGUGUUAUAAUCAUACAUAUUAACCCAAAAGCCCCGUUCCAACCAUAUGAAAGACCUUUCUCUCUGCAGGACCUCAAUUACGCCAGUUUUGUCCUCGAUUUAAGCAGAAUUCCGAAAGAGCGUAAUCGCAUUUAUAUACGUCUAUAUGUAGAGAGCACCGUAGUAGAUAUGCAUAUGCAUAGACCUAUAACCGUGAACGUCGUGUGUGUAUAUAGAGUGUGUGUGCUUGGUAGCUGUACGUACGGUGUACGGGUAUUUUAUUUACCGGAUUGGACGGCUCACGCUGCACGCCAAAUUAAUUUUAGAAAUUAUACGUUUGCAGAGUUCAACAUGGUAGCUUGCAGGAUAACGGACGCUCGUAACAUUGCCGCCAAUAAUCAUCAUUUGCACAAUCGCAGUACGGGCUCAAUUUCCUCUGGUCAAGUGCCUUUAAAAAAUUCCAGGUCCAUCCUGUCAUAAUCAAAAUCGUA